AUAUAUAUAUAUAUAGUGGAUGGUGGAUGGUUGUUCUUAGUUGGUGGAGCGAUUUGUCUGGUUAAUUCCGAUAACGAACGAGACUCUAGCCUAUUAAAAAGGUGCGUGGUUCUCCGUUGCUUGAAUCCUUCUUAGAGGGACAAACGGCUCCUAGCCGCACGAAACGGAACGAUAAUAGGUCUGCGAUGCCCUUAGGU
rnacentral:rRNA from 1 species